CUCAUUAAACAAAACCUAUCCUCUCCUCCAUCUUCACCCCAAACCCUAACCCCAAGAUCUGGUUCCGGCUAUAGCCCUAACUCACCUUUUGCGAACUCUUCAUCACCCCCGGCGUCCUUGACUACGUCGCCCGAAACUCCUCGUCUACAAGGGCAUCGUCUGUGAAUUCGUAAGGCUUUUCUCUGGACCGGUUCCGGCAGGGAGAACCUCGAGUUUAACGUCCGCUGGACCCGCCAGAACCUUGCCAUCACCAAUAGUUUAGCAUCUGGAUCACCAGUAGUUUCUGUUCAUUCUAAGCCGCCUUUGGGCCCUUUGUGUACUAUGGCCAGGUAAUGUGGAUUGCUUAUGGAUGUUGAUUGAGAGAGUAUUUAGCCGUCGUACCAGAGUAGAACUUCAAUGAAAAGAUAACAUCUCCUAUGUUGUUUGUGGAUGCAGUCACCUUUGGGUUCUGCAGCUUCUGCUUGUAUUAUGAUUAGGGAUGAUGAAUUGGCAACUGAGGCAGCAUGGGUAGUUGUGUAUCUUUCAGUCCUUUCAGAAAAUGCUGUCCGUGUGAUGGUAAAAAGUAAUAUCAUUGAGCUUCUUGUUGGAAGAUUGACAGCCUCUGAGAGUUUGCCAUUGUUAAUUCCGGUAUAUACUAAUACCUACUAAAUUAUGUUAUAUGCUUGACUUCACAUGAGCUACUCACAGGAUUUAUGUAUUACCGUAAUGGUUGUGUCAUGAUUAUCCUGUAUUUCUUUUGUGUUAAUUUUUAGCUAGAAAUUUCUAGAUUUGGAUAUUACAGACUGUAGAAACUUACAAGCUUUGAGAAUUUUGUCAUUGUUAGCAGAUUACUUUUUUCCUUAUCAGAUGUUGUAGGACAGCAUGUGCCUCACAUUAAAUUUCAA